AACGAACGCUGGCGGCAGGCCUAACACAUGCAAGUCGAGCGAGGACUUCGGUCCUAGCGGCGGACGGGUGAGUAACGCGUGGGAACGUGCUCCUUGGUACGGAAUAGCGCCGGGAAACUGGGAGCAAUACCGUAUGAGCUCUGCGGAGGAAAGAUUUAUGGCCAAGGGGUCGGCCCGCGUUGGAUUAGGUAGUUGGUGGGGUAAUGGCCUACCAAGGCGACGAUCCAUAGCUGGUUUGAGAGGAUGAUUAGCCACACUGGGACUGAGACUCGGGCCAGACUGCAACGGGAGGCAGCAGUCGGGAAUCUUAGACAACGGGCGAAAGCCUGAUCUAGCCAUGCAGCGUGAGCGAUGAAGGCGUUAGGGUUGUAAGGCUCUUUCAGCUGGGAACAUAAUGAAUGUACCAGCAGAAGAAGCCCCGGCUAACUCCUUGCCAGCCGCCGCGGUAAUAC
rnacentral:rRNA from 1 species